GUGCUUUCUUAAUGGCUGUGGGUCACCCAACCAAGAAUUUGGUGUACUUAAUUUGCCGCAUGCCUUCCUUCUCAGGAGGCCUGGCUUCAUAAUCCACAGGACCAUGAGCUCCCUGGAGCAUACAGCUUCAACAUUUCCAGAAUUUUGACAUCUGUCUGGUAGUGAGUUCUCCUCCACCCCUUGCACCACCGCUAGCUUCUCUCCUGCUCGCAUCCUUAGCCUCGGAGGAGUGACAAUUGCACUGGAAUCCCUGGAUUUCAUCCCUCAUCCCUGGUGAAGAUAAAGCUAAUUGUACAAAGCUGCGUUUGCCCUGCCGGAACCUCACCCCCUGCACCUCUGGAAAAGACACGGAAGCUGCUCAUCACCUUCGCCUGAGAUCAGCCCCAUCAGCACCUGUCUGAGCUAUAAGAAUCCCAGAGCAUAGCUCCUACUGAGUCUAAUUCCCAAAGUGGGGUAUCGUGUUAUCUCGUCCAGCCUCCCGGUCCCAUCGAUGAAGAUGCUUCCUCCCACAGGUGGGAAGUGACAGGUGCAAGGUCCUCACUGGGUUUUGCCAUUUGACAAAGUCAAGAGAAAAACCCCAUGACCCCAGUAGUGGCCUCACCCCACACCCCAACCUCCUCUGAUUGUAUGACCUCCUUCCUAUUGGUACUGCUCCACUGCGGAAGGAGGUGGGAUGUGAUGAUAGACUGAGCUCCCACGCAUAACCCGGAGGGCCCUGUCUUCAAAGACUACGACUGUGAACAUCUAUUCUUCGUGACUCAGAGGGCAGGUCCGAGCCUUACGUUACUCAAGGCAUUAGCCAUGAACGGCUUGUUGGAGACGAAAUCCGUAUGCAAACCCCCCCCUUUCCUGUCAUUUAAUACUCACGUAACUUUGUACAGAUCGCGUAAUCUUCCAGAAGCCCAGCCUUCCUGAGGAAUGGACAGGUGAUCUCUGCCAGACUCGGAGAGUCAUUGUGAGCACGGACUUCCCACACGAGACGGCGCAGAGAGGUGUACGUGUUAGCUGCUAUUGUGGUGGAAGACAUGCAGCAAAUAUUGAUGACACCCACUCGGAGCCAGACACGGAGAAAACAAUCUCCCAGGCACCUUCCUUUCCUUUAUCUUCUCUGAUCCUGGCAUCUAUUCCACGAAGUGUAAAGUAUCAUUUUCAUUUUCGAUGAUGAAAAGACUGCCUGAGGUCCUCCAGCUGGUCACUGGCCACGUGUGGACUUGAA
rnacentral:lncRNA from 1 species